UGGAAAUCUACCACAGAGAAAACAGGGAAGAAAAUAGAGAACAACAAGUUGUGGAAGAGGGAACGUCACAUUAAUAUUGAUGAUUGGCUAAGAUUAGGUAUCUGGUAUCUGCCCCUCCUGACUGUGGUCAACUCUCAUGCUUACUGUUUUCUCACAGUCCUGCUUCAAGAAUUUGCCAAUAAACAAUGAAAAAAACACUGCAGACAGGUCUCCUUCUUUUCUGCAUAGAAAUUGAUAAUCCUUAGAUUUCAUGGUGUUGACUUUAUCAACUUACACUGAGCCUUGAACUUAAGCAGCUCUUGUCUUUUUGCUGUUCUCUUAGGUUCUGUACAUAUCGAUGAUAAGAAUGAUCUGAGGGAUUAUGUCCAGUUUAAUUGAAGGCUUCAUCCCUGGCCAUCUGGCUUUGCCUACCUGUAAUCUUGAGUUAUGCCCUACUCCUUGAACUCUACUGGAGACAAGCUCUGACUUCCAGCCUUCCACUCCCUAAACAUGUGGUUUAUCUGUGAGCUCGAGAUGCAGAGACUCCAAGGACUACUCCCAAUAAAAAGCCUAGCCACUUCUGCCUGUUUAAACACCCAUCUCUGUGCCCUAUGUUUAAUAUGUUUCUCAUUGAAGUAGACAAGAAAUUGUAGGAUAAAUGACACAAAAGGUAGAACUGUGUGGAGAAAGUCCGUGUCACUGCCUACCAAUCAGUUGCUCCUUUGCCUAAUGGAUGGGGAGUGGAAUUAGAUCAUCUCCAUACUUCUUCCUGCUCCAUCUAUGACUCUAGAUGCAUCAAUGCCUGUAAUAAAUCUCUAUGGGCAAAACAUGAUCGUCAUUUCCAGGCCAUCAGGUGAUCUCUGCGCUCAUUGGGAUGAAACAGUUAUGUCUCCCUUGCUCAACACAGUCUUUUCUUCCUACAGCCUUUGCUCUCCAGUGUAGACUCUGUACCAACUACUAUCUAGGAGUUUGUGUAUCUACAGAGGCAACAUGUAUUGCUGAGAAUGGUGCCGUCUGCAGAGGUUAUAGACUGUCUUCUAAAAACAAUAUGUCUUUCCCAUCUCUUGGAUAUAAUGUUUGUGCACAUGAUUGUAACCCCUUCUACACAUCUUGGAGUGAUUCUGGAAGUCUGCUAUUCUGCUGUAGUAAUCGUGAUAUGUGCAAUGAUGUUCCUGAGCCAGUCGAUCAAUAUAUAGCAGCAGUACCUUUCUUCCCUUCUAAUUAGUUUAUCACUGGUUCUUCCUAGGUUUAAUUUUCACCAUGGACUAGCAGUUUCUCCAGGCACUUAAUACCCUGGAGCAAAGGACCCUGAGUAAGACACAGUCUUCAUCUUUAAACAGAUUCACUGUCAGCACAGUCACAUCCGCCUUAUCAUUUUCUCCUAAUAAAUGUUAAUUUGUCUGACUCUUUAUUUCA
rnacentral:lncRNA from 1 species